GACGAACGCUGGCGGCGUGCUUAACACAUGCAAGUCGAACGGAAAGGCCCUGCUUGCAGGGUGCUCGAGUGGCGAACGGGUGAGUAACACGUGGGUGAUCUGCCCCUUAUUUUGGGAUAAGCCUGGGAAACUGGGUCUAAUACUGGAUAGGACCAUGCUGGAGGUGGUGUGGUGGAAAGAUUAGUUUCGGUAAGGGAUGAGCUCGCGGCCUAUCAGCUUGUUGGUGGGGUAAUGGCCUACCAAGGCGUCGACGGGUAGCCGGCCUGAGAGGGUGGACGGCCACAUUGGGACUGAGAUGCGGCCCAGACUCCUACGGGAGGCAGCAGUGGGGGAUAUUGCGCAAUGGGCGCACGCCUGAUGCAGCGACGCCGCGUGGGGGGUGACGGCCUUCGGGUUGUAAACUCCUUUCGGCCAUGACGAAGCCCUUGUGGUGACGGUAGUGGUAGAAGAAGCACCGGCUAACUACGUG
rnacentral:rRNA from 1 species